UACCUGAUGAAAGAAAUUUCUUUGAUUAUUCAACGUUAAUCAUUUUAUAUUGAAAGAAAUGCAAGUGUUUACUAUAUUUCUUCUCUUUUCUAGUAAUCUAUAUGAUGAUUGUUAAGUUUCUUCAAUAAGGUAUUGAAGUAUUUUCAUCUGUUUCAUUGAAUAAGGAAAACGAUUAUGGCUGAGUAUAAUUCAUAUCAAUCGUGCUUAUUUAACGUAAUUCAUUCGUCGUUAAGUUUACUUUCCACUCGUGAAAGGAUCAAUAUUCUUUGACCACCUGUUUUACGCAAGAAAGCGUACGCCGUUUGCGUGCGAUUUCUUUCCUGGCCUCGCGUAAACAGACAAAAAAAAAUGCUAGUACAUUUCUACAGAAGAGAUUACUUUUUAUUAUUGAUAGGUAGCUCUGUUGUUCAUUCCAGUAUCUAAAAUUCUGGAUGCAAAAUAAGCGAGAGUUCUAUUAUUGUCAAAUUUCUCUCAUUCAAACUCCAUUAUGUCUCCCAAUUAAUUCUACUUCAAGAUUAAAGAAUGAAUCCACAGUUCAUUAUGCCAGCCAACGUUCCAUUGCUAGAGGAUCUCUUCCGGGUUCGUGAAACUUGGCAGGAAGUAGACAGAGGAAAGUGUGAUCAAGUUUAUUAUGCUUACGGAUAACAUGGCCACCAGAGAACAAGCGUACACGGCUCCUGGAAAAAAUAAAAUCCUAUCAGUUUUACGUGAAAAACAGAGGUAUCAAUCUAAGCUUGCGUAAGAUCGCUCGUGGACAUGCUCCAUUAUUAAGUAAACGUAAACUGUGAAAAGUGGGCCGCUUGGAAAGGGAGUCAAUGCCGUGCGAGAAACGGUCAAUGUUUAACGAGGUAUAAAAGCGCAAACGUUACGAAAGUGAUCGCUGAUUCACCAAAAAUUUGAGGCAUAUUAAUUCUAAACGAGAACUUGUGGUCGCAAACGACGCAAGCAGAUACAUUUCAACCUGACAUUUUCGUGUCGACAUUUGUCUGUGACAUUUAAGGCUUCUGGGAAUUCGUUCACCAUAAAUUUGUUGCUAACUCAUUGCCACAUCUAUAAUUUCUAUUACCAUUACAUCCAUUUUCUGAUCAAGAUUAAAUUGUGGUCCUUACUAAAAAGUUAGUAUCAAACAGAAGAAUUAUUUGACGUUAAAUUUGUUAAUUGCAAUUUAUUGCAGAUAUUCACUGCUGUUAUUAUGUCAGCAAAAUAGCAUCAGCGUAACGCCUAACGUUGCAUGUAUGUACUUACUCGCGUGUCUCAUCCCGCAUACCUAAACGAAGACGCAAGGAAUUACAUGUGUGAGUUUCACCAUUUUUUAUAGCUAAAAUAAGUCUCAAUACGGUCAUGUAUCCCGGUGUUAAAUAAAACAGCCAGAUCCGAAUGAAUUAUAACGUAAAACGAACUUGAACUUACCCAUGCUGGUGAAUGCGUUUUGCACGGGUAACAACGCCUGUUGAUCCACGCGAGACGGCGUCUCUUGGUUGACUGAGAUUGCAGGCGGCUUCUCGUACUCUCCUGAAAGAGUGAGUGCCGUUAUGUUAUACAGGAUGUAUCAAAAACGUUGGCCAUAACAGUAUCAACGUAUUACAAAAAGAACAAAGAAUCUGAAGAAAAAAAGAAGCAUGCACAUUUAACUUUCUCCUUUUGUAAAGUGAAUUCAAGUCGCAAUACUUGGUGGGAAGAAAAACCAGGUAUUAGAAACAUUUAUGCCCUGUAGAUCCUACAAUUGUAUUUUAUAACACAACAUAUUUUUUUUGAAAUAUUCAUUUGAUCGUCAUUUGUAAUUGUACAGCUAGAAUUUUGGAUAGUAUGAAGAUAAAUUGGAGUGGGUGUUAGGUGGGCAGACGACCUCGUCCUUCCAUAUUCAGAUUGGAUAGUGUCAUCAAUUUAUAGUGGGCUCCGAAGGACUUUCUUCUAAUUAAAGUACAGAAGAAGUUUGUCGCUUUCUAACAUUUUAUUUUAAAUGUUUUUCUGUACAAAAAGAUAUAACGCGUUUGGCGUAUAACUUAUAUAAAAUAAUUUUCUUUUAACAGUAGAACAGAAACAGCAACAAACUAUAUAUUGGCAGCCUAUAAAAAAUAUGAGGUACGUUAAAUAAAUGCAAUAAAUAUAUACAUAUUUAUUAAUGCAUGUGUACUACUAUACCAAUUCAUCGAGAUCAACGUCUGAGGUAUCCAUAAAGUUUUGCUUAUAUGAAUCAUCUUCGUCGUCAACUUUAUCUUUCAUUUUAUCGGAUAGUUUAAAAUUAAUGUCGUCGUUGUUUUCAGCAUUAUCUUCUUCAUUUUCUUUUUUUUCGUCGCUGUAAAAAAUAUUGUUAGUACUUAUUUUAAUAGUUGCCAUGUUUGAAUUCUGUAAAUAGUUCUUACUCUUUCUUUGGAUCAACAUCCUCCAACUGAAACAGUUCUGUAAUUCUUUUUAAGUAUUGUUUACUUCUUUCUUUUAUUAAUGGAACUUCCAAAAUUUCUUUCAAAUAAUCCUCCACUGGUGGCAAUGGUUUAUCUGGAUUUAAGGCACGAUGCGACAACGCGUGCCACCUAUGCUGUAUUGCAGGAUUUGGUACACAGCCAGGCAAAAAAUAUUGGCUUCCAUCUACUUCGUAACUGUCUCUGUUUAAAAAGUAUAUAUAAAUAAACAAUUACAAGCCCAGUGAAGUACAAAUGUACAUACCCCAUAUCAGAUAAUGUAAGGGAAUCUAUUAAAUUAUCUAGCGCUUCGUUCUGAUCAUCCGUCAAUUGUUUAACUACGGACUUAAUCGGUCGGGUCUCCAUAACUCUGCGGUCUUCCGAAUAUGUUAAUGCUAUUUCUACCAAGCACUGCGCGUUAAUAAAUAUAAUCAAUUUUACGUAAUAGUACAAAUUUAUUAAAAUAAUUUAAUUUAAAAAUAAAAGAUUUUAAAAUACCCAGGGUUCAUCCGGAACAUCGGUACAGGGAAAUAAGGCUACCAUUUUAGGUGCCAAGUUAUCUCUGUACACUUUUCUUGCGAUAGCAACCGCGUUUGUUUUACGCAUUGCUUGUACCAAAGAAUAAAAGAGUUUUGUUACAUCCUAAAAAUAGAAAUAAAUUGAAUACUUGUAAAAA